AUUGAACGCUGGCGGCAGGCCUAACACAUGCAAGUCGAACGGCAGCACAGAAGAGCUUGCUCUUUGGGUGGCGAGUGGCGGACGGAUGAGUAAUGUCUGGGAAACUGCCCGAUGGAGGGGGAUAACUACUGGAAACGGUAGCUAAUACCGCAUAACGUCGCAAGACCAAAGUGGGGGACCUUCGGGCCUCACACCAUCGGAUGUGCCCAGAUGGGAUUAGCUAGUAGGUGGGGUAAUGGCUCACCUAGGCGACGAUCCCUAGCUGGUCUGAGAGGAUGACCAGCCACACUGGAACUGAGACACGGUCCAGACUCCUACGGGAGGCAGCAGUGGGGAAUAUUGCACAAUGGGCGCAAGCCUGAUGCAGCCAUGCCGCGUGUAUGAAGAAGGCCUUCGGGUUGUAAAGUACUUUCAGCGGGGAGGAAGGCGGUGAGGUUAAUAACCUUGCCGAUUGACGUUACCCGCAGAAGAAGCACCGGCCAACUCCGUGCCAGCCGCCGCGGUAA
rnacentral:rRNA from 1 species